GGGAGGCCCCGACUGUUUACUAAAAACACAAUUCANAGCAAUGAUUAAGAUCAUAGUAUUCUGGAUGAAAUUUGCCCAAUGCCAUUAACAUAAGAGAGGUGAUGAGGAAACUGUUACAGCUCGAAAGUCUGGUUAAUAGCGGUCUUAACUAUGAGGAUCCAAAGGUAGCAAAAUAAAUUGGCCAUUAAAUGUGGUCUGGUAUCAAUAGUGUAACGAUGGCCUCACUGUCUCUACAACUUGCUCAGUGAAAUUGAAUUACGCGUGCAGAUGCGCGUUGCCUCCGGGUGGACGGGAAGACCCUAUGCAGCUUCU
rnacentral:rRNA from 1 species